GCGGCAUGCCUUACACAUGCAAGUCGAACGGCAGCACGGGUGCUUGCACCUGGUGGCGAGUGGCGAACGGGUGAGUAAUACAUCGGAACGUACCUUGUAGUGGGGGAUAGCUCGGCGAAAGCCGGAUUAAUACCGCAUACGCUCUGAGGAGGAAAGCGGGGGACCUUCGGGCCUCGCGCUACAAGAGCGGCCGAUGUCAGAUUAGCUAGUUGGUGGGGUAAAAGCUCACCAAGGCGACGAUCUGUAGCUGGUCUGAGAGGACGACCAGCCACACUGGGACUGAGACACGGCCCAGACUCCUACGGGAGGCAGCAGUGGGGAAUUUUGGACAAUGGGCGAAAGCCUGAUCCAGCAAUGCCGCGUGUGUGAAGAAGGCCUUCGGGUUGUAAAGCACUUUUGUCCGGAAAGAAAUCCUCUGGGUUAAUACCUCGGGGGGAUGACGGUACCGGAAGAAUAAGCACCGGCUAACUACGUGCCAGCAGCCGCGGUAAUACGUAGGGUGCAAGCGUUAAUCGGAAUUACUGGGCGUAAAGCGUGCGCAGGCGGUUUUGUAAGACGGAUGUGAAAUCCCCGGGCUUAACCUGGGAACUGCAUUCGUGACUGCAAGGCUAGAGUAUGGCAGAGGGGGGUAGAAUUCCACGUGUAGCAGCGAAAUGCGUAGAGAUGUGGAGGAAUACCGAUGGCGAAGGCAGUCCCCUGGGCCAAUACUGACGCUCAUGCACGAAAGCGUGGCGAGCAAACAGGAUUAGAUACCCUGGUAGUCCACGCCCUAAACGAUGUCCACUAGCUGCUGGGGAUUCAUUUCCUUAGUAACGUAGCUAACGCGUGAAGUUGACCGCCUGGGGAGUACGGUCGCCAGAUUAAAACUCAAAGGAAUUGACGGGGACCCGCACAAGCGGUGGAUGAUGUGGAUUAAUUCGAUGCAACGCGAAAAACCUUACCUACCCUUGACAUGUACGGAAUCCUGCUGAGAGGUGGGAGUGCUCGAAAGAGAACCGUAACACAGGUGCUGCAUGGCUGUCGUCAGCUCGUGUCGUGAGAUGUUGGGUUAAGUCCCGCAACGAGCGCAACCCUUGUCCUUUUUUGCUACGCAAGAGCACUCUAAGGAGACUGCCGGUGACAAACCGGAGGAAGGUGGGGAUGACGUCAAGUCCUCAUGGCCCUUAUGGGUAGGGCUUCACACGUCAUACAAUGGUCGGUACAGAGGGCUGCCAAACCCGAGGUGGAGCUAACCCCAGAAAACCGAUCGUAGUCCGGAUCGCAGUCUCAACUCGACUGCGUGAAGCUGGAAUCGCUAGUAAUCGCGGAUCAGCAUGUCGCGUGAAU
rnacentral:rRNA from 1 species